GGCUGGGCUGGGGAAGCCCCCGGAGUCUGCGCCGCCGCGCGCCGGCGGAAGGUGACUGCAGGCGGGCGCUUGGAGGCGGCGCCGGCGGGGAGGACUGUGCCCUUUGCCCUAGGCGGUCUCAGCCAGCCUUCCGUCGCUCCUUCACGUCAAUCUGGUCGGGCCGAGUUCUGGCGCGGGAGUGAGGACGGUCUGCAGGGACCGCUCGUUAACUUUAAACAGAGCAAAGAGCGAUGUUAUGUAAGCAAAAAAAUGAAUGAAUGUAUGUGGAGAUAGCAAAGGAACUACAGUUCAGGACAAGGAACCUAUGGCGAAGCCCAAGAGACGAAGAGAAGCCUUUCUCUUCAUGGACCUCACAAAAAUGAAGCCCUGUUCCCAAGGGGAAUCCAUUAUCUACUGAUGGCCCAGGUAUCUCAGAUUCUUCAAGACCAUGGGCAUGAUGUGAUCUUACUUCAACAGAAUGGACUUUCGUUCACAUUAGAGUAGGCUCCAUGCCCAGUGUGGACCCCAACCUGGGG